rnacentral:rRNA from 1 species
GAUGAACGCUGGCGGCGUGCCUAAUACAUGCAAGUCGAGCGAACAGACGAGGAGCUUGCUCCUUUGACGUUAGCGGCGGACGGGUGAGUAACACGUAGGUAACCUACCUAUAAGACUGGAAUAACUUCGGGAAACCGGAGCUAAUACCGGAUAAUAUUUCGAACCGCAUGGUUCGAUAGUGAAAGAUGGCUUUGCUAUCACUUAUAGAUGGACCUGCGCCGUAUUAGCUAGUUGGUAAGGUAACGGCUUACCAAGGCAACGAUACGUAGCCGACCUGAGAGGGUGAUCGGCCACACUGGAACUGAGACACGGUCCAGACUCCUACGGGAGGCAGCAGUAGGGAAUCUUCCGCAAUGGGCGAAAGCCUGACGGAGCAACGCCGCGUGAGUGAUGAAGGUCUUCGGAUCGUAAAACUCUGUUAUUAGGGAAGAACAAACGUGUAAGUAACUGUGCACGUCUUGACGGUACCUAAUCAGAAAGCCACGGCUAACUACGUG